ensembl:lncRNA LINC00654 long intergenic non-protein coding RNA 654
AGUUUACUGAGGAAAACACUUAGACCUGGUUACAGCUGAACCUAUGCAGAAUCCAGCCAUCAUCUGAGGAAGCAGUUCAUGUCGCAGCAAAGGAAGUUCUGUUCUCACCACAGCCCCUAUCUUCUGGAAGCAGCUGUCGUAAUUGAAAGGGUGCAUUUCUCACCUGCACUGUGGUCCAGGAAACUCAAGUCACCGUCCCCACCAUGUUCUUCCUGACUUCGAAGCAGUCUGGUGACCCCAGGCAGGAACUGACUAGCAUGAGAGUCUUGAUGCAGGAGAAUUUUUGAAGAAAUUCAGAAGCAGAACCGAAAGGAGGAGAGAAGCCACCUCCACCCUGUCCACUAACCUUCAGUGGGAACAGCAGAUGCAACUGGCGGGGCUGAAGGAAACAGCAGGCAGUGAGAUGGAGUGAGAACUGGAAUAAGGCAAGGAAUAUUGCUGAGAUGGUUCUCAAAUCAAUGGAGAGAGAUGUCCGUGGAUGAAUCACAAAGGGAGGGAAUGGGUGCAAAGGCCUCACUGAGAUCCAAUGACAGCAGAAGCUGCCAGGAUCUGACGUAAACCAGUUUGGUUGAAGUGUUGGGGGAGGCUAUAUGACCACAUUUUGUUUCUAUUGGCACAAUUCCAUACAUGGAAAAUGUCAUGAGACUCAAAAAUGGGUUCAGCAGAAGCUCAAAAAUAUGCUACAAAAUUCAGGAAGAAGCUAAAAUAUUAUCAGAUUAUUUUAUAAAGGACACAACUAGUCAGGAACCUUUUGAAAACACCAGCAUGCAUCAUCCAAAGAAGUAGAAUCCAAUUAAAAAAAAAAAAAA